GUGAAUCAUCGAAUUUUUGAACGCAAAUUGCACUUUCUGGUAUUCCGGAAAGUAUGCCUGUUUGAGGGUCAGUUAAAUAUAAAUCGGUGGUGUGGCUGCUUGUCUUGGUGACGCGUCGGCAUUGAGUUGUGUUACCUUCGGUUAAGUGACUUGAGAUUUGGCUUGAUUUUCGAACGUAUUUAAAUCGCUUACGUACUUUUGAGGUAUCGAAUGCGUAUUAGGUUCGGUCAUU
rnacentral:misc_RNA from 1 species